rnacentral:rRNA from 1 species
GUGAGGAAUUUUCCGCAAUGGGCGAAAGCCUGACGGAGCAAUGCCGCGUGAAGGAUGAAGGCCUAUGGGUUGUAAACUUCUUUUCUCAGAAAAGAAUUAUGACGGUAUCUGAGGAAUAAGCAUCGGCUAACUCUGUGCCAGCAGCCGCGGUAAGACAGAGGAUGCAAGCGUUAUCCGGAAUGAUUGGGUGUAAAGCGUCUGUAGGUUGUUUAAAAAGUAUUCUGUCAAAGAUUAGGGCUUAACCCUAGAUAGGCAGAAUAAACUUUUAAGCUAGAGUUUGGUAGAGGCAGAGGGAAUUCCCGGUGGAGCGGUGAAAUGCGUAGAUAUCGGGAGGAACACCAAAGGCGAAGGCACUCUGCUGGGCCAAUACUAACACUGAGAGACGAAAGCGAGGGGAGCAAAUGGGAUUAGAAACCCGAGUAGUCC